rnacentral:lncRNA from 1 species
UUUUACCAUCUCUUUCUUCUACUUUUUGCAUCAAGAAUGUGCACCAUCUCUUGUAAUAUAUUUAUUCCAUUUAUCCUCAUCUAAAUCAGCCCCAAAUCUUAAAUCUUGAACCCCAAGAUCGAUCACGAACAUUGCCAAGAAAGUGUCAUUGCCGUUUCUCUCAACUAGCUUGGGUAAGAUCUCUUUUCUUUUCAAUUUCUUGAUUAAUUUCAAAAAUUAAAAACAAAAAUUUCCAGAUCUGGAAUUUGGUGGAUUUUAAAUGAUUUCAAAGGUAUUUUUUUCUAGAUUUUAAUGAAAUAUCAAAUUGUUAUAAAAUUCAACCCCAAUUUUGGUGUAGUACUAUGUGCAGGCUACUAUGUCAACCGGUAUCAUUAUAUUAUAAGGAGGUUGCUAUGUGAUGAUCCCACCGGAUAUCAUUGAUUACAAAGGAUGGUUGCUGUGUG